rnacentral:rRNA from 1 species
UACGUAGGGGGCAAGCGUUGUCCGGAUUUAUUGGGCGUAAAGCGCUCGCAGGUGGUUCGUCGCGUCGUGCGUGAAAGACCCCGGCUCAACUGGGGGAGGUCGUGCGAUACGGGCGGACUGGAGGCCAGUAGGGGGAUGCGGAAUUCCGGGCGUAGUGGUGGAAUGCGUAGAGAUCCGGAGGAACACCAGCGGCGAAGGCGGCAUCCUGGCCUGUUCUUGACGCUGAGGCGCGAAAGCUAGGGGAGCAAACGGG